ensembl:lncRNA
AGCUACUAGAGGAAGGAGUCAGCUACUAGAGGAAGGAGUCAGCUACUAGAGGAAGGAGUCAGCUACUAGAGGAAGGAGUCAGCUACUAGAGGAAGGAGCCAGCUACUAGAGGAAGGAGUCAGCUACUAGAGGAAGGAGUCAGCUACUAGAGGAAGGAGUCAGCUACUAGAGGAAGGAGUCAGCUACUAGAGGAAGGGUCAGCUACUAGAGGAAGGAGCCAGCUACUAGAGGAAGGAGUCAGCUACUAGAGGAAGGAGUCAGCUACUAGAGGAAGGAGUCAGCUACUAGAGGAAGGAGUCAGCUACUAGAGGAAGGAGUCAGCUACUAGAGGAAGGAGUCAGCUACUAGAGGAAGGAGUCAGCUACUAGAGGAAGGAGUCAGCUACUAGAGGAAGGAGUCAGCUACUAGAGGAAGGAGUCAGCUACUAGAGGAAGGAGCCAGCUACUAGAGGAAGGAGUCAGCUACUAGAGGAAGGAGUCAGCUACUAGAGGAAGGAGUCAGCUACUAGAGGAAGGAGCCAGGUCCUGUUCUGAAGGAGCCAGGUCCUGUUCGGAAGGAGUCAGCUACUAGAGGAAGGAGUCAGCUACUAGAGGAAGGAGCCAGGUCCUGUUCGGAAGGAGUCAGCUACUAGAGGAAGGAGUCAGCUACUAGAGGAAGGAGCCAGGUCCUGUUCGGAAGGAGCCAGGUCCUGUUCGGAAGGAGUCAGCUACUAGAGGAAGGAGUCAGCUACUAGAGGAAGGAGCCAGGUCCUGUUCGGAAGGAGCCAGCUACUAGAGGAACAUACAGGACAUCAUGGUGGAGAGAAAACCCCUGCUUCUGCUGCUGUUACUCUGUAUCUACACCUCCUCUGCCUACCCUGUAAGACAGACAGGACCACCUCUACCUAUCGGUGGCUGGACUGGGUUUUAUCCCAUAACCUUGCCUGACCACACAGGAGCACUGAGGACUGUCCUCUACCCUUUGACUGUAUACAACCACAACCUUCCAACACAGCCUGCCAUUGGCCAGAAUCCUGUAUCGGUGCCUGCCAUUGGCCAGAAUCCUGUAUCGGUGCCUGCCAUUGGCUGGAAUCCUCUUCUACGUUCUGUAUCGGAGCCUUUGAUUGGUCAAAAUCCUCUAUCAGUGCAUGUGAUUGGACAGGAGAUGACUGUGUUUCAGACUCCCUCCCCUCCUCAGUUUAAAGAUACGCCUGCGGCCCCUGUAGAGGAAACUCCCAUGGUGACAGGUCCACAGUCCCAGCUCCAGCCAUACUACCCACAGGCCUACCCCUACGACCCACAGCCCUACCCCUACGACCCACAGCCCUACCCCUACGACCCACAGCCCUACCCCUACGACCCAAUCACAACACAGCUACUGCCCAACCUGGAAACACUCACACCUGGGGAACAGGCACAGAUAAUGUCUAGGUUCCAUAUUAUUCCGUCAGUCUCUCAGGACAGUCAGACGGUGUUCCCCACCUGGCAGUUAAGCGGUGCAGUGGGAGGAGCCCAGUCUCAGUCGUCGUCUCUGAGUUCUGAAGAGGAAGCUUCACCUCCUGUGGUCUACACCAGGGUGAUGUUGCCUCCAGUGGUGCCAGCGUAUCAGAGCCAGGGGCUGAGUGUGGACCCUAACCCUGAACCUUCAGUCUUAACCCCUGACCCCUUACCUCUGACCCCUGACCCCGGCCACGCCCACCUGGGGAACCCCCCGACUGUAGCCCCGAUGGCCUCGGGGGGGCAGGGGACCCCCAAACCUGAGGUGGGGGGUGCGGUAGGGGUACAGAUGAAGAGUGCCGUGGAGAAGGGUACAGAGGGGGCUGUGGGGGUGAGAGAGGGGGGAGGGGUACAGAUAAAGAGUGGAGGUGCAGGUGACCCCUGUCCCUUGGAGAAGAGCCCCCCAGUAAGAGAGACCCAAACUUCUACCCAUUCCGAUCCUCGCCUCACACAUCGUCUCACCCCCAGGCAGCUCCCCAUCCGAGCUAGGAGCGAUGGGGGGAGAGCCUGAGGAGGACGGGGUUUUCUUUCCCUCUCCUACCUCUCCUACGUAUCCUCCUCUCUCCCCCUCCUACCUCUCUCCCUCUCCUCCUCUCUCCCCUCUCCCCUCUCUCACUCUCCUACCUCUCCUCCUCUCCUCCUCUCCUCCUCUCCUCCUCUCCUCCUCUCUCCCUCUCUUCCUCUCCUCCUCUCUCCCUCUCCUCCUCUCCUCCUCUCUCCCUCUCCUCCUCUCUCACUAUCCUACCUCUCCCCCUCUCUCCCUCUCCUCCUCUCCUCCUCUCUCACUCUCCUCCUCUCCUCCUCUCUCCCUCUCCUCCUCUCUCACUAUCCUACCUCUCCCCCUCUCUCCCUCUCCUCCUCUCCUCUCUCUCUCCUCUCCUUCCUCUCUCCCUCUCCUCCUCUCUCCCUCUCCUCCUCUCUCACUCUCCUACCUCUCCUCCUCUCCUCCUUUCUCCCUCUCCUCCUCUCCUCCUCUCUCCCUCUACUCCUCUCUCCCUCUCUCACUCUCCUCCUCUCUCCCUCUCUCACUCUCCUACCUCUUUCCCCUCAAAAGGUUCCAUUGUAUUGUCCUACAGUUUGUCAUAUGUAUAGUUGUCCCUUGUUCUUGGUCAAGUGAUCAUUUUCUGACAUGUUGAUAUGAAACCCCUGGAUCUUAAUAAACAACUUAACACUACUGGACUCUACUGGACUCAUGUCUUAAUAAACAACUUAACACUACUGGACUCUACUGGACUCAUGUCUUAAUAAACAACUUAACACUACUGGACUCUACUGGAUUCAUGUCUUAAUAAACAACUUAAC